rnacentral:rRNA from 1 species
CUUUAGUUGCCAUCAUUGAUUGGGCACUCUAAAGAGACUGCCGGUGUCAAACCGGAGGAAGGUGGGGAUGACGUCAAGUCCUCAUGGCCUUAUGACCAGGGCUACACACGUACUACAAUGGCCGGUACAAAGGGCAGCGACACAGCGAUGUGAAGCGAAUCCCGAAAAGCCGGUCUCAGUCCGGAUUGGAGUCUGCAACUCGACUCCAUGAAGUUGGAAUCGCUAGUAAUCGCGGAUCAGAACGCCGCGGUGAAUACGUUCUCGGGGUUU